AACGAACGCUGGCGGCAGGCCUAACACAUGCAAGUCGAACGCCCUAGCAAUAGGGAGUGGCAGACGGGUGAGUAACACGUGGGAACCUUCCCUAUAGUACGGAAUAGCCCAGGGAAACUUGGAGUAAUACCGUAUACGCCCGAGAGGGGAAAGAUUUAUCGCUAUAGGAUGGGCCCGCGUCGGAUUAGCUAGUUGGUGAGGUAAUGGCGCACCAAGGCAACGAUCCGUAGCUGGUUUGAGAGAAUGACCAGCCACACUGGGACUGAGACACGGCCCAGACUCCUACGGGAGGCAGCAGUGGGGAAUCUUGGACAAUGGGCGCAAGCCUGAUCCAGCCAUGCCGCGUGAGUGAUGAAGGCCUUAGGGUUGUAAAGCUCUUUUGGCGGGGACGAUAAUGACGGUACCCGCAGAAUAAGUCCCGGCUAACUUCGUGCCAGCCGCCGCGGUAA
rnacentral:rRNA from 1 species